CACUCUCUUUGUUGUCAACAACUAUCAUCUUCCAGUUUUUUUUCCGAUUUGCUAACAGGUUCAUAGUGUUCUUCAGCUUCUAUUUUCAUGAACCGACAGUGAUGGGAAACACGAUCUGUUGUUCGUGUCGUCUGGAUUUCUUCACGCUGGAAAAGUGAAACACGAACCGUUACAGAUGCAUUCAAUUGAAUCGUUAUCAUUAACAGCCAUUUAACUCCUCCUCUACACUCCCAUCACAAUUGUUCAUUCACUGCAUCUGGCUUCUCUUCCAGCGGUGAAUUUCCAUGUAUAAAAAGGCCAAACAACACGAAUGACUGGAUUUACAUAGAUGCCAAAAAUGCCAGUGAGGUCGAAGAGUUUCAUCAAAUCUUCAAGGAAAAUUAUUUCUCAGAAGAAUGGCAGUCUCAUCUAUCCUCUUCCAUGAUUUGAAGGCUGGACGUUGUUCUUCCACCGUCUAGGUUCGACUUCAAAGGUUCCGGGAAGCAAUAACGCGAUACGCGGUGGCGAGAGCAUAUGGGUUUGGACAUGAUCCUCCUCGGCUCUAAGGUUAUUCCGUUUUUAGUACUCACAUCAUCGGAGUUUUAAACAAAAUCCAGUGUCUAAUCUCAGAAUUUUCAUACUUUUGUUUCCAAAUCUUUAUUUUAACUUCCUGCAGUGAAGUGGUUGAAAACUAUAAUAGUAGUGCACAAGCUGCAGAGUUGCUUCUCAGAGUAACUAUAAGCUUUAGCAAUGAAUGUAAUUGAUUUUACUAACAUUUCAUAUUAUUAUCUGAGUCUUCUUAGAUUUGGUUUUGCUUGCUUUAGGAAAUAUCAUUCUGCAAGUCAAAAGGGGAGAAGAAAGAUUGUUUUCUUUAAGUUGAAACUUGGAAUUUGACUCUAAUCCAAUUAUUUUGGGUAGCUGGUGCUAUGGCUCAAAUUCUGCGCAGAAGAUAGCGUCUCAAGAACCAAGUGUGAAUAGUACAGCAAUAACAGUUAUGUGAUCUCGAACUCAAUACACUAAGAUUAAGCUAAUGCAUGGUUUAUUCUUGGAUUCCUCGCAUGAUUAUACAAAUAUAUCCAUGUGACUGGUUAGACAAGUUCCAUUUCCAUUUAUUGGAAAAAAUAAACAAGUUCCAAUGUUUUUAUACUAUGAUGGUUAUCUGUAUUGAAAUGGGAAGCUUAACUUUUGUAUGUAUUCAACUUUUUCCAUAUUUUUAUUCAGAAGAUGAGGAAGUCACCAUGGAUAGGUUUCAAAAUGAAUUGGAGAAAUCAAAGUUACUGGGUUGAAUACUGGGUUGAAUAUGAUCAAAAGGCCAACAUCGAAGCUGGUGAAUCUGUGGCAGAUGAUGAAGCUAAAUAUGGUCGAGUGAAGGGGCCAAGUCACAUUUUUCAUAAAAAGUUUUAAUAAUUUUUCCUAUUGAGGAAUGGUUGAGUGGGUGAAUAUUUGGGUUUAGUAAGCUACAUAUCCGGGAUUCAAUUAUUAGUUUGACCGAAUUUAGUUUUCGAGGGAUGUGGUUUACUGUUUUUUUAAAGUAUGAGGUUUUUAUUGUUUUAUAUAACAUUUCACUUUAAACUGAAAACGUUUCACUUUAAA